UACGUAGGGACCAAGCGUUGUUCGGAUUUAUUGGGCGUAAAGAGCGUGUAGGCGGCCAGACAGGUCCGUUGUGAAAACUAGAGGCUUAACCUCUAGACGUCGAUGGAAACCGUCUGGCUAGAGUCCGGAAGAGGAGAAUGGAAUUCCUGGUGUAGCGGUGAAAUGCGCAGAUAUCAGGAAGAACACCCGUGGCUAAGGCGGUUCUCUAGUACGGUACUGACGCUGAGACGCGAAAGCGUGGGGAGCGAACAGG
rnacentral:rRNA from 1 species